CCUACGGGGGGCAGCAGUGGGGAAUAUUGCACAAUGGGGGAAACCCUGAUGCAGCAACGCCGCGUGAGUGAGGAAGUAUUUCGGUAUGUAAAGCUCUAUCAGCAGGGAAGAGAAAAGACGGUACCUGACUAAGAAGCCCCGGCUAACUACGUGCCAGCAGCCGCGGUAAUACGUAGGGGGCAAGCGUUAUCCGGAUUUACUGGGUGUAAAGGGAGCGUAGACGGCAAGGCAAGUCAGAAGUGAAAUACCCAGGCUCAACCUGGGGACUGCUUUUGAAACUGU
rnacentral:rRNA from 1 species